rnacentral:rRNA from 1 species
GUCUAUGGCCAUGUCAUCCUGAAUAAGCCCGAUCCCGCCUGAUCUUGAAAGCUAAGCAGGGUUGAGCCUGGUUAGUACUUGGAUGGGAGACCACCUAGGAAGACCAGGUACUGUAAGCA